AUACGGAGGAUGCGAGCGUUAUCCGGAUUUAUUGGGUUUAAAGGGAGCGUAGGCGGGAGCUUAAGUCAGCGGUUAAAUGGUGCGGCUCAACCGUGCCCUGCCGUUGAAACUGGGUUUCUUGAGAGUGCAAGAGGCGGAUGGGAUUCAUGGUGGAGCGGGGAAAUGCUUAGAUAUCAUGAAGAACUCCGAUUGCGAAGGCAGUCCGCUGGGGCACGUCUGACGCUGAUGCUCGAAGGUGCGGGAAUCAAACAGGAUUAGAUACCCUGGUAGUCCGCACGGUAAACGAUGAUUACCCGCUGUCGGCGGUAGACAGUCGGCGGCCAAGCGAAAGCGAUAAGUAAUCCACCUGGGGAGUACGCCGGCAACGGUGAAACUCAAAUGAAUUGGCGGGG
rnacentral:rRNA from 1 species